rfam:Actinomycetales bacterium JB111 genome assembly, contig: Scaffold20
CGCGCUCGCUCUUCACGACGGAUCGUCCGGCACGUACCUGCCGGUGGAGGGAAACAUCA